GGCACCCACAGGAGUACUCCGAGAGUAACCCGAGUGGUCCACCACCAAUUCCGGGGAAAACCCGGUAACUCACCCGCCCGUAGGCACGACGGUAAAAUCUUCCUAAUAGUUUUAUUUCAAAGUCUAGGCUUUUAAUAACAUAAGUAUUUUAUGUAAACAACUGAUGUAUAUAAAUUAUGAUAAACAAACAUAUAUAUGCAAACUUAUUCCCGUUGCCUUUAUAUAAAUAAUUGUUUAGUUGUUAGUACAUAAUUAGUUUUAGAUUAAAACAACCCGUGGGAACAAAAAUACACAAUUAUAUAUACUGCUAAUCAGAUGCAAUGAGAGAAAUGAGGAGGUUGAAGGGUUACAUAAUGGUUUAUGUAUAAUAUUUAAAGGAACGAGUAUAAGUUUUUAUGAUGUUCUCAUAGUUUUUUUAGUUAGAAUUUGUUUUAUAUUUAUAAACUAGGUUAUAACCCCGUGUAUUACACGGGUUAAGUAAAUAAAAAAUCAAAUAGUUAAUAACGAAGAUUUAACAAUUUUAAAAUGAUAUUUUUAAGACGCUUUUAUGAUAUCCAAACAAAAUUUUGUGUCAUGUAUGAUCAAAACUUGUGAUGUUUGUCAAGUUUAUAAAUAUGAAAGCAUUUGAACCAUCGAUUAGAAUACAGACUGUAUCAUCGACUUUUUCACGAGUUUUAACAUGCUCUUAAUUUAUUAGUUCUAAAAAAAUGUUGAAAUGUACAGAUAAGGCAUAUAGCAAUUAUCCAAUUAGAUAAAUU
rnacentral:lncRNA from 1 species